CUAGGGAGUGGGAGAGGUAGACGGUACUCGGUAGGAAGGGGUAAAAUCCUUUGAUCUAUUGAUGACCACCUGUGGCGAAGGCGGUCUACCAGAACACGUUCGACGGUGAGGGAUGAAAGCUGGGGGAGCAAACCGGAUUAGAUACCCGGGUAGUCCCAGCUGUAAACGAUGCAAACUCGAUGAUGCGUUGGCUUGUUGCUAGCGCAGUGUCGCAGGGAAGCCGUUAAGUUUGCCGCCUGGGAAGUACGUACGCAAGUAUGAAACUUAAAGGAAUUGGCGGGGGAGCACCACAAGGGGUGAAGCCUGCGGUUCAAUUGGAGUCAACGCCUGAAACCUUACCCGGAGAGACAGCAGAAUGAAGGUCAAGCUGAAGACUUUACCAGACAAGCUGAGAGGUGGUGCAUGGCCGUCGCCAGCUCGUGCCGUGAGAUGUCCUGUUAAGUCAGGUAACGAGCGAGAUCCCUGCCUCUAGUUGCCACUAUUACACCCUGGUGUAGUAGGGCGAAUUAGGGGGACCGCCGCAGUUAAUGCGGAGGAAGGAAGGGGCCACGGCAGGUCAGUAUGCCCCGAAACUCUGGGGCCACACGCGGGCUGCAAUGGUAACGACAAU
rnacentral:rRNA from 1 species